GUUCCAGACUCCUACGGGAGGCAGCAGUGAGGAAUAUUGGUCAAUGGGCGGGAGCCUGAACCAGCCAAGUCGCGUGAGGGAAGACGGUCCUAUGGAUUGUAAACCUCUUUAGGCGGGGAGCAAUGCCGGGCACGCGUGCCCGGAGGGAGAGUACCCGCAGAAUAAGCAUCGGCUAACUCCGUGCCAGCAGCCGCGGUAAUACGGAGGAUGCGAGCGUUAUCCGGAUUUAUUGGGUUUAAAGGGUGCGUAGGCGGAUUUUUAAGUCAGCGGUAAAAUGUCCGGGCUCAACCCGGGCCGGCCGUUGAAACUGGCGGGCUGGAGUUGGAGAGAAGUACGCGGAAUGCGCGGUGUAGCGGUGAAAUGCUUAGAUAUCGCGCAGAACCCCGAUUGCGAAGGCAGCAUACCGGCGCCCAACUGACGCUGAAGCACGAAAGCGUGGGUAUCGAACAGGAUUAGAUACCCGGGUAAG
rnacentral:rRNA from 1 species